rnacentral:rRNA from 1 species
UGACCGCUGGCGGCGUGCCUCAUACAUGCACGUCGAGCGAACGGACGAGAAGCUUGCUUCUCUGAUGUUAGCGGCGGACGGGUGAGUAACACGUGGAUAACCUACCUAUAAGACUGGGAUAACUUCGGGAAACCGGAGCUAAUACCGGAUGAUAUUUUGAACCGCAUGGUUCAAAAGUGAAAGACGGUCUUGCUGUCACUUAUAGAUGGAUCCGCGCUGCAUUAGCUAGUUGGUAAGGUAACGGCUUACCAAGGCAACGAUGCAUAGCCGACCUGAGAGGGUGAUCGGCCACACUGGAACUGAGACACGGUCCAGACUCCUACGGGAGGCAGCAGUAGGGAAUCUUCCGCAAUGGGCGAAAGCCUGACGGAGCAACGCCGCGUGAGUGAUGAAGGUCUUCGGAUCGUAAAACUCUGUUAUUAGGGAAGAACAUAUGUGUAAGUAACUGUGCACAUCUUGACGGUACCUAAUCAGAAAGCCACGGCUAACUACGUG